rnacentral:rRNA from 1 species
UACGUAGGGUGCAAGCGUUGUCCGGAAUUAUUGGGCGUAAAGAGCUCGUAGGCGGCCUGUCGCGUCGGAUGUGAAAAUCCAAGGCUCAACCUUGGACCUGCAUUCGAUACGGGCAGGCUAGAGUUCGGUAGGGGAGACUGGAAUUCCUGGUGUAGCGGUGAAAUGCGCAGAUAUCAGGAGGAACACCGGUGGCGAAGGCGGUUCUCUGGGAAUGACCUGACGCUGAGGAGCGAAAGUGUGGGGAGCGAACAGG